CACCACUGUAGGGAAAGCAGCAGAAAAGUGCCGGGAGAGUCUUGACACAGCAGGAUUUAAUGGGAAGGAAGAAAACAGGGGAAGAGGAGUCAUCAUUUGGAAGAUGCCAAGCAGGCCUAGAAUGUUGCAAAGCCCAAGACUGCUCACCUCUUUUCCAGAGCAUCAGUGAGUGUUGCCUGGGACAACUUCUCCCGAGUUAGGAAAUCAACUUGAUGAUGCCAAAGAGGAAAGAACAAAGGCCAGUGGACUGGGAAUCAGAAAACUACUCCAGUCUCUAAUGCGCCACGUGACCAGGUAGAGGAGAAAAAGAUUUUUGUGCGGGCAUUCCAACUGGAUAUAAGCAUGACUGCAAAGGCCAAGCUGACACCAUCAGACCCUUUAUAGAACAGAGACACGAAGACAAUGCCACUAGGAUCUAAGUCCCAGCCCAGUCACUAGGAGAUGGACCUGUGUGGACUGCUACAGAAAGACUUCUCAGCUUCCUCACUCCCUCCUCGGGCUGUCUCCCAAAUGACUGUGGAUGCACUGGAACAGACUCUUCUGUGCGACUCGGAGGCAGAUGACUCUUGUGACGCAGGCUCAAAUCUCAAGAAGAUGGCAUCCCGGGAACACCAAGGGGUGAAGACCAAAAUGUCCUAAGAAAAGGCUGCUCUCUCUGGACAAAGGACCAAGAAAAGUGCAGCCUAGGAAGACAGAAAACUAUUAGACAAUAAUUGCGCUACUCCUGGCAACACCACAGAAAAUGCUAUGGCCCCUUCCCACCCACACUAGUAAAGGUCCUGUGGGAAGCCAAGAUUUCCUCCUUUGCCAGGCUGUAACAAGGUGCUCCAACUCCCCUGCCAUCUCCAACAGGGGUGAUGUCUGAGAAAGUCCAGUAAGGAACCAGAACUUGCAUUCCUGCUGGGUGGUCCUAAGGCGUCCUCCCCUUCCCCUGGGGUGGUGUCAUAGGAGGCCUAGUGGAGUAGACUUUCAGCAUUGCCCAUUUAAGAUGAGGUCCCCCACCCUCCACCAGUGGAGGCAACUCGGGAAGCAAUGAGAGGGUGCUCCAAUGCCUCACACCCAGGGAAUAUCAGUGGAGACUAAUAGAGAACUGGAACUCCCAGUCUUGCCCAGCAAUAACUAGGAGAAACACACACCAGUGUCAACGGAGACUAAGCAGGAGGACUCUGACUUCUAACCCCAUCCCCAUUCCCCUGUUGCAGCAGUGUCAGCUAAAACAGAAGGUUUAAGUAAGACCCAGUCUUAUAACACAAUACCUAAAAUGUCCAGUUUUCAAUCAAAAAUCACUUGUCAG
rnacentral:lncRNA from 1 species